rnacentral:lncRNA from 1 species
CCUAAACAAGACCGCGCUGCAAAGGGACUUCCGUGGCAGAGAGAACAGAUACGUGACCACAGCGAGUGUCUCUUCUGCUUCCUAAGAGGGAAACUGCCCUCUCUCCAAAGACCGAGGCCAGCCUGAGGCGUCCGACCCCGGGGAUGGGGACAGCCGAGUCAGCUCUGUUUUCCCAACACGGGACAAGCAGCGAAGUCCAGAGAUACACGAAGUCAUCCCUGUGGAUUACUUCGGAAACAAGAGGGAUCUGGGCAGUUGUUUGCACAGAUCAAACCUCUGCCUGGAAGAAGACUGGGGAAGAGUAUGUUUAUGAUGACAAAGCUCUGCCAAACUAGAUACCCACAUAGUGUUUGGGGAAUGCAACCAUCUGGAGAGCAAACACACUAAAGCCAAGAAAGUCAUUGCCAUCUGCAAGGCAAGACAGAGAGCUAUAACUUGAAUGCCCAAAUGUCAGCCACAGUAUGAAGAAUCAUAUGCAGCCCAAGGAACGGAUAAGGUGGAAAGCAUACCUAUAGCUGUAA